UCGGGUUGUAAAGCACUUUUGUCCGGAAAGAAAACCUCCCGGUUAAUACCUGGGGGGGAUGACGGUACCGGAAGAAUAAGCACCGGCUAACUACGUGCCAGCAGCCGCGGUAAUACGUAGGGUGCGAGCGUUAAUCGGAAUUACUGGGCGUAAAGCGUGCGCAGGCGGUGCUGUAAGACCGAUGUGAAAUCCCCGGGCUUAACCUGGGAACUGCAUUGGUGACUGCAGCGCUGGAGUAUGGCAGAGGGGGGUGGAAUUCCACGUGUAGCAGUGAAAUGCGUAGAGAUGUGGAGGAACACCGAUGGCGAAGGCAGCCCCCUGGGCCAAUACUGACGCUCAUGCACGAAAGCGUGGGGAGCAAACAGGAUUAGAUACCCUGGUAGUCCACGCCCUAAACGAUGUCAACUGGUUGUCGGGCCUUCAUUGGCUUGGUAACGUAGCUAACGCGUGAAGUUGACCGCCUGGGGAGUACGGUCGCAAGAUUAAAACUAAA
rnacentral:rRNA from 1 species